rnacentral:misc_RNA from 1 species
UUUCCGUAGGUGAACCUGCGGAAGGAUCAUUACAGUGUUCUCUGCCCUCACGGGUAGAAACGCCCACCCUUGUAUAUUAUAUCUUUGUUGCUUUGGCAGGCCGCCCUCGGGCACCGGCUCCGGCUGGAUCGCGCCUGCCAGAGGAAACCCAAACUCUGAAUGUUAGUGUCGUCUGAGUACUAUCUAAUAGUUAAAACUUUCAACAACGGAUCUCUUGGUUCUG